ensembl:lncRNA PMS2P4 PMS1 homolog 2, mismatch repair system component pseudogene 4
GGGAGCCCAGGAGGCGGGGCGCCUGUGGGAGUCGUGGAGGGAACUUUCCCAGGCCCCGAGGCGGAUCGGGUAUUGAGUCCAUGGAGCGAGCUGAGAGCUAGAGUACAGAACCUGCUAAGGCCAUCAAACCUAUCGAUCGGAAGUCAGUCCAUCAGAUUUGCUCUGGGCCGGUGGUACUGAGUCUAAGCACUGCGGUGAAGGAGUUAGUAGAAAACAGUCUGGAUGCUGGUGCCACCAAUAUUGAUCUAAAGCUUAAGGACUAUGGAGUGGAUCUCAUUGAAGUUUCAGACAAUGGAUGUGGGGUAGAAGAAGAAAACUUUGAAGGCUUAACGAUGUCACCAUUUCUACCUGCCACGCAUCGGCGAAGGUUGGGACUCGACUGGUGUUUGAUCACGAUGGGAAAAUCAUCCAGAAAACCCCCUACCCCCACCCCAGAGGGACCACAGUCAGCGUGAAGCAGUUAUUUUCUACACUACCUGUGCACCAUAAGGAAUUUCAAAGGAAUAUUAAGAAGACGUGCCUGUUUCCCCUUCGCCUUCUGCCGUGAUUGUCAGUUUCCUGAGGCCUCCCCAGCCAUGCUUCCUGUACAGCCUGCAGAACUGAUGGCCGUAUAAGAAAAUAAACAACUUGCUAAAACUGCUGAAACUCCCUCUGCUUGUGAGAUUUAAAAAAACUGGCUGAAAUUGGUUGGAACCAACAUGUCCAAUGGAGUCUGAAUAGAAAGAGCUUGCUGACAUCACAGCCCGAAUUUCCACCACAUUUCAUACUAACUCCCCCUGAAUUUGCAUAUGCAAACCACAAGCAAGCAUGAUCAAACAGACAACUGCGCGUGUCCGAGGACUUUCCAGAUCUCCCCUUUCCUUCCACCAAUCACUUACUAAUCUGAGAAUCCAUCCCCUAAUAAAAUCACUGCCUUAAAGCCUGCACAGGAAGACAAAUUUGA